AUUGAACGCUGGCGGCAGGCCUAACAACUGCAAGUAGAACGCGCGGCGGACGGGUGAGUAAUGUCUGGGAAUCUGCACGAUAGAGGGGGAUAACUACUGGAAACGGUAGCUAAUACCGCAUACUAUCGGAGUAACCCAUCUGGGAUUAGCUAGUAGGUGGGGUAAAGGCUAACCUCAGCGACGAUCGCUAGAUGGUCUGAGAGGAGGAUCAGUCACCAUGGAACUGAGACACGGCCCAGACUCUUACGGGAGGCAGCAGUGGGGAAGAUUGCACAAGGGGCGCAAGCCUGAUGCAGCCAUGCCGCGUGUAUGAAGAAGGCCUUAGGGUUGUAAAGUACUUUCAGCGGGGAGGCGUUACCCGCAGAAGAAGCACCGGCUAACUCCGUGCCAGCAGCCGCGGUAAUUC
rnacentral:rRNA from 1 species